rnacentral:rRNA from 1 species
GACGAACGCUGGCGGCGUGCCUAAUACAUGCAAGUCGAACGAGAGCGACCGGUGCUUGCACUGGUCAAUCUAGUGGCGAACGGGUGAGUAACACGUGGGUAACCUGCCCAUCAGAGGGGGAUAACAUUCGGAAACGGAUGCUAAAACCGCAUAGGUCUUCGAACCGCAUGGUUUGAAGAGGAAAAGAGGCGCAAGCUUCUGCUGAUGGAUGGACCCGCGGUGCAUUAGCUAGUUGGUGAGGUAACGGCUCACCAAGGCCGUGAUGCAUAGCCGACCUGAGAGGGUGAUCGGCCACAUUGGGACUGAGACACGGCCCAAACUCCUACGGGAGGCAGCAGUAGGGAAUCUUCCGCAAUGGACGCAAGUCUGACGGAGCAACGCCGCGUGAGUGAAGAAGGUUUUCGGAUCGUAAAACUCUGUUGUUAGAGAAGAACAAGUGCUAGAGUAACUGUUAGCGCCCUGACGGUAUCUAACCAGAAAGCCACGGCUAACUACGUG